GACAGAGGAUGCAAGCGUUAUCCGGAAUGAUUGGGCGUAAAGCGUCUGUAGGUGGCUUUUUAAGUCCGCCGUCAAAUCCCAGGGCUCAACCCUGGACAGGCGGUGGAAACUACCAAGCUGGAGUACGGUAGGGGCAGAGGGAAUUUCCGGUGGAGCGGUGAAAUGCGUAGAGAUCAUGAGGAAGACCAGUGGCGAAGGCGGGUCUCUGGACAGUUCCUGACACUGAGACACGAAGGCCAGGGGAGCAAACGGG
rnacentral:rRNA from 1 species